GUCAAACAUAGCUUAUUCAGUUACUGAACAUGAGUUUGCAGUCAUGUAUACAUAGGUUGUGAUUUUGUGUCAUGCCAAAUCAAAGAACACAGACGAAAAUCAAAUCUCAAUCAAACUAAAUUAAUACUGCAUUUACAAGCUUAGAAUAAGAAGGAUCACGAUCCAAUCUAGCUAUUAUAAUUAACACUAAAGAUCUAGGCUGAAACUACAGAAUUGUCCCACGUACAAUGAUCAGCCAGCGUUCAACCAUUUUCCAUCAGAGCAUCCUCCCAUAUGCUUUCAGGAAAAUACAUACAUCCUCCUCUUUUCACAUAGCAUCAUUAUGCCAUUGAAGAACAACAUCUUGAAGCCCAUCCUUCAAUUUCCCCCACUGAACCUCCUCAAAUUCCACCCCAUCACCCCCCACCACCUUCACUUCCACCACCAAUAAGUUCUCUGAUAUUUCCAACAUCUCCAACAUCAAAACGACCCUUCCUUUUCCCAACCCAAUUGCCCCACCCUUUCCUUCCUCAACUCUAUAUCCUAAUCUCCCACCAACCUCUCUCAGUCUCUCCGCUAUUCUCUCCACCGUCUCCCUUGAAGUAAAUCUCUUCUCUCUUCUACCUUUAACCUCAAAAAGGCCGGAUAGAUCCAACCCCGAAGAUAAAGAUAUUAUAUCAAACGCAUUAACACUUCUAGUAUCACAUUUACAAUAUUUUGUGUGUUCCAAUUCGAACAUGCUACUUUGAGUUGGUAAUUCAUAAUUCUUCAGGAACCAAGAAUGAUUCAUUAGUCCUACUAUGCUCAUUCUUGUCGUGGGAUUUGGGUCAAGAAGCUGAGUUAUAAUAGAUUUAGCUGGUUUUGAGAUAGAAGAAGGUAUUUGAUAUUCUCUUCGAUGAAUUUUCUUGUACAUGGCUGCAAGAUUCGUAUCAUCGAAGGGUAGCUGUGCUGAUAGUAGAAAGAACAGAAUUACUCCGCAAGACCACGCAUCCGCCUUCGCACCGUCGUAUCCCCGCCGCGCCAUCACCUCUGGAGCAGUGAAAGCUGGGGUCCCACAAGCCGUCUGAAGGACAUCGCCAUUCUGCGCCUUGGCCAAGGCCGAGAGACCGAAAUCAGAUACUUUUAGAUUACCAUUCUCGUCGAGGAGGAGAUUUUGCGGCUUGACAUCGCGGUGAGCGACGCCGUUCUGGUGGCAAAAAUGAAGAGCCGACACGAGCUGUUGAAAGUAGCGGCGAGCCUUGGAUUCCUUGAGUUUACCACGGUGGAGAACCUUGGAGAAGAGCUCGCCACCCAAGGCAAGGUCCAUGACUAGGUAGAUUUUGGUCCUGGUGGCCAUGACUUCAUGGAUUUUAAGAAUAUUAGGAUGGUGCUGGAGGCGGCGCAUGGCGGAAAUCUCGCAUAUUAUCCGAGGUUCCAUGGCAGCGUCCACCGUGCGUGUUUUGUCGAUAAUCUUUAUAGCAACGAGCUUGUUAUCAGUCAGAGAACGAGCUGCGUAAACCUUGGCGAAGCUGCCGCGGCCCAGCAAUUUACCGAGUUCAUACCUGUUGAGAAGGGUGGCGGGGAUGUUGGAGGAGGUGGUUCUCAAAGGGAGAGGCGGUGGCUGAGCCCGUCGUGGUUCCAUGGCCCAAGGGCGGCUAGAGGUGGCUGAAGGUGGCAGGGAAGCCCAACAGGCUGCACGGGACAGGUUAUUUUAGUUUGGGGUGGUGGCUUU
rnacentral:misc_RNA from 1 species